AUUGAACGCUGGCGGCAGGCCUAACACAUGCAAGUCGAGCGGAUGAAGGGAGCUUGCUCCUGGUGGCGAGUGGCGGACGGGUGAGUAACACGUAGGAAUCUGCCUGGUAAUGGGGGAUAACCCGGGGGAAACUCGGGCUAAUACCGCAUACGCUCCACGGAGGAAAGCGGGGGAUCUUAGGACCUCGCGUUAUCAGAUGAGCCUGCGUCCGAUUAGCUAGUUGGUGGGGUAAAGGCCCACCAAGGCGACGAUCGGUAGCUGGUCUGAGAGGACGAUCAGCCACACUGGAACUGAGACACGGUCCAGACUCCUACGGGAGGCAGCAGUGGAGAAUAUUGGACAAUGGGCGAAAGCCUGAUCCAGCAAUGCCGCGUGAGUGAUGAAGGCCUUAGGGUUGUAAAGCUCUUUUACCCGGGAUGAUAAUGACAGUACCGGGAGAAUAAGCUCCGGCUAACUCCGUGCCAGCAGCCGCGGUAAUGUGACUACUG
rnacentral:rRNA from 1 species